rnacentral:rRNA from 1 species
UGAGGAAUAUUGGUCAAUGGGCGAGAGCCUGAACCAGCCAAGUAGCGUGCAGGAUGACGGCCCUAUGGGUUGUAAACUGCUUUUAUAUGGGAAUAAAGUGAGGGACGUGUCCCUUAUUGCAUGUACCAUAUGAAUAAGGACCGGCUAAUUCCGUGCCAGCAGCCGCGGUAAUACGGAAGGUCCAGGCGUUAUCCGGAUUUAUUGGGUUUAAAGGGAGCGUAGGCUGUUUGUUAAGCGUGUUGUGAAAUGUAAGAGCUCAACUUUUAGAUUGCAGCGCGAACUGGCAGACUUGAGUGCGCACAACGUAGGCGGAAUUCAUGGUGUAGCGGUGAGAUGCUUAGAUAUCAUGACGAACUCCGAUUGCGAAGGCAGCUUACGGGAGCGCAACUGACGCUAAAGCUCGAAGGUGCGGGUAUCGAACAGG